AGGUGCCUAGAGCCGGUGCCAUCUUUCCAGCGUAGGUCCGCAAAACAAAGAGCAGCCCAGGUUCUGAAGGGCACAUUGCAGUGUCAUUAACAAGAACUGAUUAGGUAAUUUUGCAUCGUUUACAAUACCUCCAGACCAAGAAAAUCUGUGUAAUUUUUUUUCACUGACUUGUCCAACUGAAAAACAGGACCAGGAAGUCUACAAGACUGUCUUCUGUAUAUGACAGGGAAACUACACCCACAAAAUCUCAACAAUAUGGCUGCUUAAACAAGACCUGAACAAUCCCGACACCAGCUGACAUGCUGACUGCUGACGUGGGAAAGGAAAAUUGCACCAGGCUGAGCCCAUGGAUGGCUCUUCAUCUACAGGCAAUUAACAAGUGCCAAGAGGGGAAGAAUGAGACUUCCCCAGAGUUAAGCACACUAAAGGAUCACAAUCGUGAAAUCCAUGCUUUCUCCCUGGAUGCCAUCUUUGACAUGGUUUCUCCUAUGUGCAUGAGGGUAAUCUCCCACCUCUGAGCUGCUUACCAUAUGUCUCAGUUAUGACAGAGACAGAGGCGGCUUGAGGGUGCCUGCCACCUAUUUGGAGAGGGAGAGACAAAGUUCGCAUACCUCACAUGCUUUUGUCACAGCAUAUUCUUAUAAUUGUAUGAAUUCUCAUCUGGGUGUAUAAAUAAACUAGUGUGUGGUGUAUG